rnacentral:rRNA from 1 species
GCAAGUCGAGCGCACUCUUCGGAGUGAGCGGCGGACGGGUUAGUAACGCGUGGGAACGUACCCAGAUCUAAGGAAUAGCCUCUGGAAACGGAGAGUAAUACCUUAUACGCCCUUUGGGGGAAAGAUUUAUCGGAGAAGGAUUAGCCCGCGUUAGAUUAGGUAGUUGGUGGGGUAAUGGCCUACCAAGCCUACGAUCUAUAGCUGGUUUGAGAGGAUGAUC